AACGAACGCUGGCGGCAUGCCUAACACAUGCAAGUCGAGCGAGAUCUUCGGGUCUAUCGUCGUACGGUUUUGUAACGCGUGGGAAUAUUCCUCUUUGUACGGAAUAGCCUCGGGAAACUGGUAGUAAUACCGUAUGUUCCCUUUUGUGGAAAGAUUUAUCGCCAAGAGAUUAUCCCGCGUUGGAUUAGGUAGUUGGUGGGGUUAUGGCAUACCAAGCCGACGAUUCCUAGCUUGUUUGAGAGGAUGAUCAGCCACACUGGGACUGAGACACGGCCGAGACUCCUACGGGAGGCAGGAGUGGGGAAUGUUAGAAAAUGGGGGCAAUGAUGAUCUAGCCAUGACGCGUGAGUGAUGAAGGCAUUAGGGUUGUAAAGCUCUUUCAGCUGGGAAGAUAAUGACGGUACCAGAAGAAGAAGCCCCGGCUAACUCCGUG
rnacentral:rRNA from 1 species